rnacentral:rRNA from 1 species
AUUGAACGCUGGCGGCAGGCCUAACACAUGCAAGUCGAACGGUAACAGGAAGCAGCUUGCUGCUUUGCUGACGAGUGGCGGACGGGUGAGGAAUGUCUGGGAAACUGCCUGAUGGAGGGGGAUAACUACUGGAAACGGUAGCUAAUACCGCAUAACGUCGCAAGACCAAAGAGGGGGACCUUCGGGCCUCUUGCCAUCGGAUGUGCCCAGAUGGGAUUAGCUAGUAGGUGGGGUAACGGCUCACCUAGGCGACGAUCCCUAGCUGGUCUGAGAGGAUGACCAGCCACACUGGAACUGAGACACGGUCCAGACUCCUACGGGAGGCAGCAGUGGGGAAUAUUGCACAAUGGGCGCAAGCCUGAUGCAGCCAUGCCGCGUGUAUGAAGAAGGCCUUCGGGUUGUAAAGUACUUUCAGCGGGGAGGAAGGGAGUAAAGUUAAUACCUUUGCUCAUUGACGUUACCCGCAGAAGAAGCACCGGCUAACUCCGUG